GACGAACGCUGGCGGCGUGCUUAACACAUGCAAGUCGAACGGUGAACGAGGGAGCUUGCUCCCUCCGGAUCAGUGGCGAACGGGUGAGUAACACGUGAGCAAUCUGCCCCGAACUCUGGGAUAAGCGUUGGAAACGACGUCUAAUACCGGAUACGACGCGGGAGGGCAUCCUCUCCGCGUGGAAAGAACUUCGGUUCGGGAUGAGCUCGCGGCCUAUCAGCUUGUUGGUGAGGUAACGGCUCACCAAGGCGACGACGGGUAGCCGGCCUGAGAGGGUGACGGGCAAAAGGGGGACGGAAACACGGCCCAGACCCCGAGGGGAGGAAGAGGGGGGAAAGAUGGAAAAAGGGGCGCAGGCUGGAGGCAGAACGGCGGGGGGAGGGACGAGGGCCUGGGGGUUGUAAACCUUUUUAAGCGGGAAAGAAGAAAAAGGGACGUUACCGGAAAAAAAAGAACCGGAAAACUAGGUG
rnacentral:rRNA from 1 species